rnacentral:lncRNA from 1 species
UGAAUGUUUUAGGUAGGUAGCCAUCCAAGCUUCCUGAAGGAAGUUCGAGAUCACAUGCAGGAUUCUUUCUUAAUGCAGCCUGAGAAGUACGGAAAACUGACAACUUGUACUGGUUGCCGAACACAGUGCAGGUUUUUUGAUAUGACUCAGUGCAUAGGUCCUAAUGGAUAUAUGGAGCCAUAUUGUUCAACUGCUUGCAUGAACAGUCACAAGACAAAAUAUGCAAAAUCACAAAGUUUGGGAAUUAUUUGCCAUUUUUGUAAGCGAAACUCUUUACCUCAAUACCAAGCCACGAUGCCUGAUGGAAAACUGUAUAAUUUUUGCAAUUCUAGUUGUGUGGCUAAAUUUCAGGCUCUAAGCAUGCAGUCAUCUCCAAAUGGCCAGUUUGUAGCACCUAGUGAUAUUCAGUUGAAAUGCAACUACUGUAAAAAUUCCUUUUGUUCAAAACCAGAAAUCUUGGAAUGGGAGAACAAAGUGCAUCAGUUCUGCAGCAGAACUUGCUCAGAUGACUAUAAGAAGUUGCAUUGCAUAGUUACAUAUUGCGAAUACUGCCAAGAGGAGAAGACUCUGCAUGAAACAGUAAAUUUCUCUGGCGUUAAGAGACCUUUCUGUAGUGAAGGCUGCAAGCUGUUAUACAAACAAGAUUUUGCAAGACGAUUAGGAUUAAGAUGUGUUACCUGCAACUAUUGUUCUCAAUUGUGUAAGAAGGGAGCCACUAAAGAGCUGGAUGGAGUUGUCCGAGACUUCUGCAGUGAAGACUGCUGUAAGAAGUUCCAGGAGUGGUACUACAAGGCAAGUCAGCACCUGGUCAGGAGAGCAGCUGCUUUGGUUGUCUUCUAAAGUGUUUGGUAGCCGUUGCCGUGGCUAGCAAGUGUCUAUCUAGUUCUGUCUUUCAUUCAUGUACUCUGUACCUAGUCCUGUUUUUGCUGUUCAUUAAGAUGGUUUUUGUCUUUCCUGCUUGUUUUUUAUAUUUUGAAGUGGAAUUAUUAAUUUUCCUUAUGCAUUACCAACCAUUAGACUAUUCAUCUUCAGUGGUGAAGCUUUAUAAAAUGGAUAUUUCUCUAAAAUUAUUUUUAAUAACUCCAUUAUCAGUAUUGAACAAUAAAUGGCAGUAAUAGCUUUAAAUACUAAGCUAGUAUUUUGUAAGUCUUUGCUUCUAUGUGUAUGUGGGUUCACAUGUAAACAUCUCUUUGUGGAACAGAGGUGAGGAACAACUGUAUUUUGUAUAUUAUAAAAGACUUUUUUAUAAGUCAAUAAAUGAUACCCUUUGGCCCAUUGUAUUAACCACUUUUUUUGAGACAGUUUCAU